rnacentral:rRNA from 1 species
UAAGCGGACAGUGAAAUUGGGAGGCUCAACCUCUCACCCAUUGUCUGAACUGCUAAGCUAGAGGAUGAGAGAGGUUAUUGGAAUUCCCAGUGUAGGAGUGAAAUCCGUAGAUAUUGGGAGGAACACCGAUGGCGUAGGCAGAUAACUGGCUCAUUCCUGACACUAAAGGCACGAAAGCGUGGGAGCAAACGGGAUUAGAUACCCCGGUAGUCCACGCCGUAAACUAUGGAUGCUA